UACGUAGGUGGCGAGCGUUAUCCGGAUUUAUUGGGUUUAAAGGGAGCGUAGGCGGCUUCGUAAGUCAGUGGUUAAAGGUAGCAGCUCAACUGUUUUACAUGCCAUUGAUACUGCGGAGCUUGAGUUAUUAGGAGGCAGAUAGAAUUUCUGAUGUAGCGGUGAAAUGCUUAGAUAUCAGAAGGAAUACCGAUUGCGAAGGCAGUCUGCUACAUAUAUACUGACGCUGAUGCUCGAAAGUGCGGGUAUCAAACAGG
rnacentral:rRNA from 1 species